GAAUGAUAUUUGGUGAGAAAAUUAAACUUAAAGGGAUCGAUAUGGCAAUAUAAAUUAAGUUUGUCUUAUUUGAAAGAACAUUUAAAAUGAUAUAUAAACUUCCUUUACAAUUAUUCCGUAUGUUGCUUGGUUUUCGAAGUAAAUCGACUUAUUUUGAUCAAAAGCAGCGUGCAUUCCGCCAUCUUGGAUAUGCAAUCGAUAUGCAUACGUCACAAGUAGGGUAAGAAGCGAAAUUUUUAUCUUGCAAACCACUUGUCAUUAUCAAUAUGAAACUCGAUUUUCCGAAGUCUGUUUAGUACUCAAUUAACUCACAACAUUUUAAUUAAGAAACUUUUCGAAGAAAUUCAGUCCCACAUAAAGAAGUUUUAACAAGUUUACCCUGCUUGUGACGUCAUCAAAAACUCAGUUAAUUAGGUCAAUUAUAAUACCAAGAUGGUGGACUGUAUACUGUUUUUGGUCAAAAUAUUUCGAAAACCAAGCAAGGUACGAAAAAGUUGUAAAGGGUCUUCAUAUAUAACUUUAAAAGUUCUUUCAAAUAAGACAAAGUUAAUUUAUAUUGCCAUAUCCUUUUAAAGUUUAUGUAAAUCAGCAUGAUUUCUGUAUCUACCUGCGAACAGGCUCUCAAGGUGAAAUGAGAGCCUGCACUGAUGAUAUACAAUUUUGAAUAUCUGCCCCGUAACGUUCGUUUUUCCAAACAUGGAAUGUCUGUCCUUAUAUGGUGUUGUUUACAACUUUCG